UACAGAGGGUGCAAGCGUUAAUCGGAAUUACUGGGCGUAAAGCGUGCGUAGCCGGUUACAUAAGUCGGGUGUGAAAGCCCCGGGCUCAACCUGGGAAUUGCAUUCGAGACUGCGUAGCUAGGGUGCGGAAGAGGGAAGCGGAAUUUCCGGUGUAGCGGUGAAAUGCGUAGAUAUCGGAAGGAACACCAGUGGCGAAAGCGGCUUCCUGGUCCAGCACCGACGUUCAGGCACGAAAGCGUGGUGAGCAAACCGG
rnacentral:rRNA from 1 species